GCCCGGGUGGCGAAAUCGGUAAACGCAAAGGACUUAAAAUCCUUCGGGGAGUAUAUCCCCUUGCCGGUUCGAGUCCGGCCCCGGGCA
rnacentral:tRNA from 1 species